rnacentral:sRNA from 1 species
GACCGGACCAUGAAUGAUCUGGAGGACAGCUAUGGACAGGAGUGGACCUAUGAACAGCGGAAGGUGGUGGAGUUCACGUGCCACACAGCAUUCUUUGCCAGCAUCGUGGUGGUGCAAUGGGCUGACCUCAUCAUCUGCAAGACCCGCCGCAACUCAGUCUUCCAGCAAGGCAUGAAGAACAAGAUCCUGAUUUUUGGGCUCCUGGAGGAGACGGCGUUGGCUGCCUUUCUCUCUUACUGCCCAGGCAUGGGUGUAGCCCUCCGCAUGUACCCGCUCAAAGUCACCUGGUGGUUCUGCGCCUUCCCCUACAGCCUCCUUAUCUUCAUCUAUGAUGAGGUCCGAAAGCUCAUCCUGCGGCGGUAUCCUGGUGGUAAGCCCCUCCACAUCCCCCCCAGCAAAGUGCAAGCCCCACCACCAGCUUCUCCCUCCAGGACCCACGCAGA